rnacentral:rRNA from 1 species
AUUGAACGCUGGCGGCAGGCCUAACACAUGCAAGUCGAGCGGAUGAAGGGAGCUUGCUCCUGGAUUCAGCGGCGGACGGGUGAGUAAUGCCUAGGAAUCUACCUGGUAGUGGGGGAUAACGUCCGGAAACGGGCGCUAAUACCGCAUACGUCCUGAGGGAGAAAGUGGGGGAUCUUCGGACCUCACGCUAUCAGAUGAGCCUAGGUCGGAUUAGCUAGUUGGUGGGGUAAAGGCUUACCAAGGCGACGAUCCGUAACUGGUCUGAGAGGAUGAUCAGUCACACUGGAACUGAGACACGGUCCAGACUCCUACGGGAGGCAGCAGUGGGGAAUAUUGGACAAUGGGCGAAAGCCUGAUCCAGCCAUGCCGCGUGUGUGAAGAAGGUCUUCGGAUUGUAAAGCACUUUAAGUUGGGAGGAAGGGCAGUAAGUUAAUACCUUGCUGUUUUGACGUUACCAACAGAAUAAGCACCGGCUAACUUCGUG